rnacentral:rRNA from 1 species
CAAGCCCUGGAAACGGGGUCUAAUACCGGAUAUGACUGUCCAUCGCAUGGUGGAUGGUGUAAAGCUCCGGCGGUGCAGGAUGAGCCCGCGGCCUAUCAGCUUGUUGGUGAGGUAGUGGCUCACCAAGGCGACGACGGGUAGCCGGCCUGAGAGGGCGACCGGCCACACUGGGACUGAGACACGGCCCAGACUCCUACGGGAGGCAGCAGUGGGGAAUAUUGCACAAUGGGCGAAAGCCUGAUGCAGCGACGCCGCGUGAGGGAUGACGGCCUUCGGGUUGUAAACCUCUUUCAGCAGGGAGGAAGCGAAAGUGACGGUACCUGCAGAAGAAGCGCCGGCUAACUACGUGCCAGCAGCCGCGGUAAUACGUAGGGCGCAAGCGUUGUCCGGAAUUACUGGGCGUAAAGAGCUCGUAGGCGGCUUGUCACGUCGGUUGUGAAAGCCCGGGGCUUAACCCCGGGUCUGCAGUCGGUACGGGCAGGCUAGAGUUCGGUAGGGGAGAUCGGAAUUCCUGGU